rnacentral:rRNA from 1 species
UAGUAACGGCGAGUGAAGCGGGAUGAGCUCAAGCUUAAAAUCUCCGUACAAAUUUUGUGCGGCGAAUUGUAGUCUAUAGAGGCGUGGUCAGCGCGGGCGCUUGGGGCAAGUUCCUUGGAAGAGGACAGCAUGGAGGGUGAUACUCCCGUUCAUCCCUGAGUGGCUCGUGCGUACGACCCGUUUUCUUUGAGUCGCGUUGUUUGGGAAUGCAGCGCAAAGUAGGUGGUAAAUUCCAUCUAAAGCUAAAUAUUGGUGCGAGACCGAUAGCGAACAAGUACCGUGAGGGAAAGAUGAAAAGAACUUUGAAAAGAGAGUUAAAGAGUACCUGAAACUGCUGAAAGGGAACCGAAUCGUUUCCAGUGUCUAUAAUCCGUGGCAUAUUUCAUUGGCGAGUGUGUGCGUGCGUGUGCUGUGGCAGUGGCUUUUUGCUGCGCUCGGUGCGUGUGCUGUGUAUGCUUGCUGGUGCCCUGUGCUGCGGUGGGACGUCAACGUCAGUUCGUAUGCUGCGGGAAAUGGCUACCGAGGAGGUAGGGCUUACGCUUGCGUUUGUCUGUUAUAUCUUGGUAGACGAGUCGUCGCGGUUGGGACUGAGGUGCCUACAACGUGCUUUUGAGUGGGUUUGCAUUUCCGUGUGUGCCGUGUGCGGAUAGCUUGCUAUGCGUGUGUGGUUAUGUGUGGAUGGAUGCGGGCUUUAACUUGUUGCCGUUCGGGACGUUGACGAAAUGGAGCGAUCCGACCCGUCUUGAAACACGGACCAAGGAGUCUAACAUGUGUGCAAGUGUUAGGGUGUGGAAACCCCAGCGCGAAAUGAAAGUAAAGGGCAGCGCAAGCUGUCUGAGGUAGGAAAUGUUGCGGACUUCGGUCUUCGGCGUGGCACUAUCGACCGAUCAUGAACCUUCGUGGUGAAAGAUUUGAGUUUGAGCACAUAUGUUGGUACCCGAAAGAUGG